rnacentral:rRNA from 1 species
GAAUCCCGUCUUUGACAUGGACUGCCAGAGCUCAACAGGUGCGCUCUCGAAGAGUCGAGUUGUUUGGGAAUGCAGCUCAAAAUGGGUGGUAAAUGCCAUCUAAAGCUAAAUAUUGGUGAGAGACCGAUAGCGAACAAGUACCGUGAGGGAAAGAUGAAAAGAACUUUGGAAAGAGAGUUAAACAGUACGUGAAAUUGCUGAAAGGGAAACGCUUGAAGUCAGUCGCAUCGUCUGGAAAUCAACCUCGCUCUUGCUGGGUGUACUUUCCGUCCGAUGGGUCAGCAUCAGUUUCAGCUGCUGGACAAGGUCUUUGGGAACGUGGCAUCUCAGGAUGUGUUAUAGCCCUUGGGCAGAUGCAGUGGCUGGGACUGAGGAGCUCGGCGCGCCGUGAGGCUGGGACGCUUGUCGUCCACACCAACGCGCCUAGGAUGCUGGCAUAAUGGCUUUAAUCGACCCGUCUUGAAACACGGACCAAGGAGUCUAACAUGCCUGCGAGUGUUUGGGUGGAAAACCCACGCGCGCAAUGAAAGUGAAGGUUGAGAUCCCUGUCGUGGGGAGCAUCGACGCCCAGACCAGACCUUCUGUGACGGCUCUGCGGUAGAGCAUGCAUGUUGGGACCCGAAAGAUGGUGAACUAUGCCUGAAUAGGGUGAAGCCAGAGGAAACUCUGGUGGAGGCUCGUAGCGAUUCUGACGUGCAAAUCGAUCGUCAAAUUUGGGUAUAGGGGCGAAAGACUAAUCGAACCAUCUAGUAGCUGGUUCCUGCC